AGAAGAGAGAAGGAGAAGGAGAGAGAGAGAAAGAGAAGGAGAGAGAAGGAGAGAGAGCGAUAGAAGGAGAGAGAUAGAGAGAGAGAGAGAGAAAGAGAAGGAGAGAGAAGGAGAGAGAAAGAGAAGGAGAGAGAGAGAAAGAGAAGGAGAGAGAAGGAGAGAGAGAGAGCGAAAGAAGGAGAGAGAGAGAGAGAAAGAGAGCGAGAGAAAGAUUGUGAAAGAGAGUGAUAGAAAGAGAGAAAGAGAAGGAGAGAGUAGGAGAGAGAGAGAAGGAGAGAGAGCGAGAGAAGUAGAGAGAGCCAGAGAAGGAGAGAUAGUGAUAG
rnacentral:lncRNA from 1 species